CCCUCGGGCGGAGGGAGGGACCGCUCAGGGCAGGGCUGGCCCGGUCGCUUUCUCAGCGGGGACGCCCUUAGGGCUGGGUUCGCAGAGGGUUGGGCCCCAGGCCUCGGGUCACUCGGCCGAAACCCGCCGGGCACAGAGCCGGCGCCACGCCGGGUGCGCUCGAUUCUCAGACAGCCCUGGCCCGGGGCUGCGGGGAGGCGGCGGCGCCACCCACGUGGCCUGGCUGUGCCCUCCGGGCCCUGAGCGCCCGGCGGGGGAGGGAAGGCAGCGCUUCCGGCGCCCGGGUUCACCCGAAAAUUCACGAGAAAAGCGGCUGAGGCGUAGCGUGUUCUCCGUCGGAGAGUGAGAAAAUGGCAGUGUAUGAACCAGGAAGAGUCCUCACCAGAACCCGAUCCUGCUGACCCCAGACCUGCAGCCUCCAGAACCGUGAGGAAUACACAUCGUCAUUUAAGCCUCUGCAUUUCCGUCUGCACGCAGUGGGGUGUCUCUUGCUUUUUGAUGUGUCUCAGCAGCUUGCACACAGGAAGAUGCCAAGGCCCUCGCUCGGCUGGACCCCUAGGACUCGGACCCUGCCCUCACCACAGUCUGAUGGAGGAAGCAGAUGUGAAAACGUAAAAUCAGGCUGUCUUGCGGUGUGACAAGAGUUCUCACCCAGAGUCAAGUCUGGGUGCAGUGGGGGGCAGGGGAGCAGUGCCUGCC